UACAGAGGGGGCAAGCGUUGUUCGGAAUUACUGGGCGUAAAGGGCGCGUAGGCGGCCUGCUAAGUCGAACGUGAAAUCCCCGGGCUCAACCCGGGAACUGCGUCCGAUACUGGCAGGCUUGAAUCCGGGAGAGGGAUGUGGAAUUCCAGGUGUAGCGGUGAAAUGCGUAGAUAUGCGGAGGAACACCGAUGGCGAAGGCAAUCCCCUGGGCCUGCACUGACGCUCAUGCACGAAAGCGUGGGGAGCAAACAGG
rnacentral:rRNA from 1 species